AUAUCCCCCAAAUCGGACCAAGUCCAUAACCUGACCCGUGCCAGCCGCCGCCCUCGCACUCCAUCCCCUCGUCCUCGCCCUCGCACCCUAUCCCCUCGUCCUUGCGCUCAAUCCACGGCCCUGCCGCCGUCGCCGCUGUAUUCGCACCUGCACCCACGGUCCCGUUGCCGGCCGCCGUCCUCGUGCUCCGCCCGAGAUCCAGCCGCCAUCCUCGCGCCUCGCCCGAGAUCCAGCCGCCGUCCGCUCCGCCUAUGAUCCAGCCGCCGUGUUCGCGCUCAGGGAUCCACCCCCAUCCCCGACCUCUAGCCCCCAACCUCGUCCGUCAUCUCCAUCGCGCUCCUCCCUAGAGCUCUCCAUCCGUGCUCCCCGCCCCUGCUGCCGCCGGUAGUCGGUAGAGAUCCAUCCACGAGAUCUUCAUCCCAUUGCGCCCCUCACGAAGGCAGCCGUCCGUUGCUGCAGAUCUCCGCACAACACUCGUUUUUCCAAUAGGAGCGGGUGUACAUGAUGGUGAGCUUGCAGACAGUGAGUACGCGGUACUACCUGGCAACAAGGCUGAGGAGGUGGGCGAGCGGAGGGCGCCGAGAUGGACCCUGAGUCUACUCAGUGUUUAAGGACGCACAUUCCAAUUUUAUUCUGCAUCACUAUUGAACUGCAUCGUCAUCUACACUAGAUAUUUAUGGAUAACAGUGUCUUUGUUUGAUAUAUUUUUUUAUGUGAGCACGGUGUUGUUUUCCUUUUGCAUGAAUAUGGCAUUAGCAUUCAAACCUUAGGCUCAACAUAUACUCUCAUCUUCCUCUGCAACCACAUACCUUCAACUACUUGAAGCUGCAUACUGUUUCCAGAGGGAGAAUUGCAAGUUCCGAUCACAUUCAAACAUUAGGGGCACCUUCUCAUAGUGCCUCACACCGCAUUGUUUGGACAUGUGAAUUCCAACUGUAGAGUCAACCGCCUCGGUGCAGUGGCUAGAUAGUUUCAGGACCCAGACUUUCAAUACUUUUAUGAGAUGUUCGUGUUCACGCUGGUUGCUCGCAUAAUAUUUGUUCUUUUGACAAGUUCAUGCAGUAUACUAACCAAGUACAUAACUUGCAGACCUUUGGCCUUUACUUUAUGAUUUGAUUUGGGAAGCCGAGUUAUCUAUAUUGAACACAUUUUUUUGAAGGAUGGUUGAUACAUGUCUACACAUUUUGUCAGAGCAAUUUGCGAUGAAAGAAGCAGCCUCAAACUGAUAAGAAGGCAAUAUUUAUUUCUAUGAAGUAAUGGUUAUUGUUGUAGAUCAAGGAUGAUAAGAAGGCAACUAAUGUACUAGGAGAGUAUUUUUAGGUAAUCAGCAACCUAAUACGCAUGGAUGUGAUGACUUUGAAGUGUUAUGGAGCAUUUGGAUGUCUGCAGUAUUUUGGACCAGCCAACUCAAUUGUAAUCAUGAAUCGUGUUACAGACCAUUUGCUGCUUAAGUGUUAUGUAGUAGAGAUCUUGUGCUCAUGGAUGUGACUCAAGUGUUUUGGACCAUUUAGUGUUUGAACUAUAUAUUUUAGACCAGCAAAUAGGGGCCUUUUAUGUGACUUGUGUUUUCUGGAUGGUUGCCAAGAUGGCCAAACUUUGCUUUGUGAAGAUUGACUUGUGUUUGAACCUGUGCACAAUAUAUAUAUAUAUAUAUAUGUUUGUAUUUUUG
rnacentral:rRNA from 1 species